AUUGAACGCUGGCGGCAUGCUUUACACAUGCAAGUCGAACGGUAACAGGCCUUCGGGUGCUGACGAGUGGCGCACGGGUGAGUAAUGCAUCGGAACGUACCCAGAGGUGGGGGAUAACGCAGCGAAAGCUGUGCUAAUACCGCAUGCGAUCUGAGGAUGAAAGCGGGGGACCGAGCAGCAAUGUUUGGCCUCGCGCCUUUGGAGCGGCCGAUGUCGGAUUAGCUAGUUGGUGGGGUAAAGGCCUACCAAGGCGACGAUCCGUAGCUGGUCUGAGAGGACGACCAGCCACACUGGGACUGAGACACGGCCCAGACUCCUACGGGAGGCAGCAGUGGGGAAUUUUGGACAAUGGGCGCAAGCCUGAUCCAGCAAUGCCGCGUGCGGGAAGAAGGCCUUCGGGUUGUAAACCGCUUUUGGCAGGAACGAAACGGUGUCCGCUAAUACCGGGCGCUAAUGACGGUACCUGCAGAAUAAGCACCGGCUAACUACGUG
rnacentral:rRNA from 1 species